rnacentral:rRNA from 1 species
AGCGGAGGAAAAGAAACUAACAAGGAUUCCCCUAGUAACGGCGAGUGAAGAGGGAACAGCCCAAGUUUGAAAGCUGGCACCUUUGGUGUCCGCAUUGUAAACUCGAGAAGUGUUAUCCGUGCCGGACCAGGCUUUAAAUCCUUUGGAAUAAGGUACCUUAGAGGGUGAUAGUCCCUUUCAUAGUCUGGAACCACCGGGGCUUUGUGAUGCGCUCUCCAAGAGUCGAGUUGUUUGGGAAUGCAGCUCAAAAUGGGUGGUAAAUGCCAUCUAAGGCUAAAUAUAGAGGAGAGACCGAUAGCGAACAAGUACCGUGAGGGAAAGAUGAAAAGAACUUUGGAAAGAGAGUUAAACAGUACGUGAAAUUGCCGGAAGGGAAGGGUAGGAAGUCAGAUAUGUCUUGGCGGAUUCAGCUUGACCUUUUGAGGUUGGGUGUAUUUCUGUCAUGGACAGGCCAGCAUCAAUUUUGGUUGCUGGAUAUUGGUGAGAGGAAUGUGGCAUCCUUUUCGGAGGGUGUGUUAUAGCCUAUUACUUGGUACAGCGGCUGGGAUUGAGGAACGCAGUGCACCCAUAAGGGCGGGCCUUAGGGCACCUUUGCACAUAGGAUGUUGGCUUAAUGGCUUUCUGCCACCCGUCUUGAAACACGGACCAAGGAGUCUAACAUGUAUGCGAGUCUUUGGGUGUGAAAACCCAUGGGCAAAAUGAAAGUGACCUUUAAGGUGGGACUCUUUGGAUGCACCAUCGACCGAUCUUGAUUUUUUUAUAAUGACGGAUUUGAGUAAGAGCAUAUAUGUUGGGACCCGAAAGAUGGUGAACUAUACUUGAAUAGGGUGAAGCCAGGGGAAACUCUGGUGGAAGCUCGUAGCGGUUCUGACGUGCAAAUCGAUCGUAAAAUUUGGGUAUAGGGGCGAAAGACUAAUCGAACCAUCUAGUAGCUGG